GAGGGUAUAACUCAGUGGUAGAGCAUGUGCUUAGCAUGCACAAGGUCCUAGGUUCAAUUGCUAGUACCUCCA
rnacentral:tRNA from 1 species